rnacentral:rRNA from 1 species
AUUGAACGCUGGCGGCAGGCCUAACACAUGCAAGUCGAACGGUAACAGGAAGCAGCUUGCUGCUUCGCUGACGAGUGGCGGACGGGUGAGUAAUGUCUGGGAAGCUGCCUGAUGGAGGGGGAUAACUACUGGAAACGGUAGCUAAUACCGCAUAAUGUCGCAAGACCAAAGAGGGGGACCUUCGGGCCUCUUGCCAUCGGAUGUGCCCAGAUGGGAUUAGCUUGUUGGUGGGGUAACGUCUCACCAAGGCGACGAUCCCUAGCUGGUCUGAGAGGAUGACCGGCCACACUAGAACUGAGACACGGUCCAGACUCCUACGGGAGGCAGCAGUGGGGAAUAUUGCACAAUAGGCGCAAGCCUGAUGCAGCCAUGCCGCGUGUAUGAAGAAGGCCUUCGGGUUGUAAAGUACUUUCAGCGGGGAGGAAGGGAGUAAAGUUAAUACCUUUGCUCAUUGACGUUACCCGCAGAAGAAGCACCGGCUAACUCCGUG